UUUUUGAGGUUGGGUGCAUGUUUGGGUUGGAGCCCUAAGGGCUCUGGUGAGUUUCAGAUAGGUGUUAAGUCCAUUUUGUAGCAUUAUAGCAGUUGGUAUCUGCAGUCUUCGCAUUUGCGAAGAUAGCCUUGCAAAUGCGAGACUUCUCCAUUGGCCUGCUAUACCGCAAAUGCGAGGAAUGACUCGCAAAUGCGAUCCUCCCUUUUUAUAGCCAGUCUUCGCCAAUGCGAUCCCCUCUUUAUAGCCCAGUCUUUACAAAUGCGAAGACAUUCUCGUAAAUGCGAGUCCCUUUCAAAUUUGCCCUCUUCAUAAUUGCGAAAAAUUUCUCGCACUUUUCAUCCUAUACUUAGACGAUUUCAAACCUUAAUUUUCAUAUUUUCAAAACCCAAACCUCCAUUGGCGAUUUUCUCUCGACUCCUUCUCCCCAAAUCUAUUGUAAGUCAACUUUUACUCAAUUUAUUCAAUCCUUAACAUCUUUUAUCAUGAUUUCAUUUUAAAAUAAAAGCUUUCAAUGGGUAAAAAUGGGGAUUUGGGGUGGAACCUAGGUUUUCUUAGAAUUGGGGACUUGGACCUCAAUUUGGGGUCCGAUUUCAAAACAAAUUGCAUAUAUGGACUCGUGGGGGAAUGGGUAACCUGGUUUUGGUUCGAACCUCAAGUUUUGACCAUGUGGGUCUGGGGAAAUUUUGAGAAUUUUUGGGUAAAACUUUGGGAAUUUCAUUCUUGUGCAUUUAAAUUGAUUUAACUAGCAUUUGUUGAUACAUUUGAGUAAAUUGUGACUAGAUUCGACCAGUUUUGAAGCGAAUUCGAGGGGUAAAGCUAUUCUAGAGGCGUGAGUUGAGUUUGGAAGCUUUCGAGGUAAGUGUGUGAUCUAACUUUGGCUUGAGGGAAUAGGGUUAGGAUAAUAUUUGCUAUGUACUAUAUGGAGUCGGUGCAUAGGUAUGAUGACGGUUACCUAUGCGCCCGAGUCUAGUAUGACCGUGAGUCAAAAUUGCUAUUAAAAUUUCGAAAGAAGUGAAAAGUUAUGAUAAUUACUUGUUAAAUGAACUAUGAAGUGAUAGUUGAGAAGAAAUGAGCUAAAGAAUGAAUUUGCUAUUUUUCCCUUGCCGGGACUUAUUGUUGAGAUGUUUUCCCUUGCCGGGAUUUAUUGAUGAGUUGUUCUCCCUUGCUGGGACUUGUUGUAGAGUUGUUAUCCCUUGCCGGGAUAUUUUAUCUUGUUGUAUAUUCCUUCCCCGUUUGGUUGUGACCGUUGAUUGGGUGAGGAAGAGAGAGAUUUUGCACAAAGGGUCUUUCCGUGCCACGUUUUGAUAAUUAUGCACGAAUGGUCUUUCCGUUCCAUGUUUCUUGAUUAUUUAAGCACGAAGGGUCAUUCCAUGCCUUGAUAUGAGAGUUAUGUGAGGAAAGCGCGAAGGGUGAUGUCGUGCACUAUGUAUUCAGAGUAAAAGCAUGAAGGGUGGUGCCGUGCGUUAUAUUUGACAGUUUUGGUGAGAAAUGAGUGUAAAAGCAUGAAGGGCGGUACAGUGCAGCUGUUGAUUCACUGGCUCUCUUUUAUUAGUGUUAAAUAUUUUGUUCCCAUUUCUUGUUCGUUGGACUUAUAAUUGAACUUUUACACCCCCAGCAUGUCCCUUUCCCAUUAUCUGCUUAAAAUUUUAUUAUCUUUCUGUUAUUGCACAUAUAUCUGUAUAUGUUAAUUGUGGUAGGCCCGGUUUAGCCUCAUCACUAUCUCGUCGGGGUUAGACCGGGCACUUAUUGGCACAUGAGUUGCGCUGAUACUACACUUCUGUGCCCUUUUCUGCACAUGUCAGGAUACAACUUACAGACCGCAGUAGUAGCUAGGAAACGAGCCUUCAGUCUAGAGACUCCAAGGUAGUUCGCUGGCGCUCGCGGGCCCUGAGUCUCCUCUAUUUCUUCCGUUUGUUUUUAUUGUAUCGAAACAGACUUGUUUUGCAUUUUUCUUUCAGACUGAUGUUUGUAGAACUCUCUUAGUAGUCCGUGAGUAGUGGCACCAGAUGUUGAGUAGUGGUAUGUUAUAGUCUUCCGCACUGUGUUAUUAUUUCUGUUAAAAGUCUUCCGCGUAUUUUUAUUUAAUUAUCUCAGUCAUUAUACUGUUUAGACUAAAGUUUUAUGGAAUAUUUUAAAAGGGUUGAUUUGCCUAGCUCCUACAGUAGGAGUCGUCACGACUCCCGAUGGUGAGAAAAUUCGGGUCGUGACAUAUUUUUAGAUCUAAAUAUUCUAGGUUCUUUAAUUUAUCUAUUUUGUUUAACCUAAUGAUAUCCAAAUUUUUUUGCUUUCAAAGAAUUUUAUUCUUUGAAUUUCUAAAUAUAUUUCCCCCUUUAUAUAUUGUUUUUGCCACUCCAAAAGUGAUAUGAUAUCUUUACUAAUACUAUAUUUUACUAUAUCAC
rnacentral:lncRNA from 1 species